UAAACUACGAUUAGAUACCCUAUUAUUUUAAACGUAAAUUGAAUAAGCUUGAGUAGUAAUAGUUAUGUUCUUGAAACUCAAAGAAUUUGGCGGUGUUUUAGUCUUUUCAGAGGAACCUGUCCCGUAAUCGAUAAUCCACGUUAAACCUUACUUAUUUUUGUUAACAGCUUGUAUACCGCCGUCGUCAGAAUGUCCUAAGAAGGUUUUAAUUUUCUUGAAUUUUUAUUAAAAAUGAUGUCAGGUCAAGGUGUAGCUUACGAAUAAGUGGAGAUGGGUUACAAUAAAUUUAUUUAUAACGGAUAAAAAUUUGAAAUAGUUUUUUGAAGGUGGAUUUGAUGGUAAUUAACUUAAUUAAAUUAAUUUGAUUUUAGCUCUAAAACAUGCACACAUCGCCCGUCGCUCUUA
rnacentral:rRNA from 1 species